GGGGAGGGCCUGUGGCUCAAUGGCUGAGCAUCUGCUUAGCAUGCAGAAGGUCCCAGGUUCAAUCCCUGGCUUCUCCA